rnacentral:misc_RNA from 1 species
ACACCCCUCAAGCCCCCGGGCUUGGUGUUGGGGAUCGGGAACAGCGGAUCGGCCCCCCGGGGCCGCGAAGCCCCCGUCCCCCAAAUGCAUCGGCGGUCACGCCGCGGCCUCUUGCGCGUAGUAGCUAACACCUCGCGCCGGAGCCCGUCGUGGUCCACGCCGCUAAACCCCCGACUUUUUACAAG